ACGACCAUACCACGUUGAAAACACCAGUUCUUGUCCGAUCACCGAAGUUAAGUAACGUGGGGCCCGGUAGUACUUGGGAGGGUGACCACCUGGGAACACCGGGUGCUGUAGGCU
rnacentral:rRNA from 1 species